UGAACCUUGGGGAAAAGCCGCCU
rnacentral:miRNA from 1 species